rnacentral:tRNA from 1 species
UCUAAUAUGGCAGAUAAGUGCAAUGGAUUUAAGCUCCAUACAUAAAAGGUAAUCUUUUUAUUAGAA